rnacentral:rRNA from 1 species
UUGACAUGUAGAGAAAUCUCACAGAGAUGUGAGGUCCGUAAGGGCUCUACACAGGUGGUGCAUGGUUGUCGUCAGCUCGUGUCGUGAGAUGUUGGGUUAAGUCCCGCAACGAGCGCAACCCUCGUCCUAUGUUGCCAGCAUUAAGUUGGGGACUCAUAGGAGACUGCCGGGGUCAACUCGGAGGAAGGUGGGGAUGACGUCAAAUCAUCAUGCCCCUUAUGCCUAGGGCUGCACGCAUGCUACAAUGGCCGAUACAGAGGGCUGCGAUACCGCAAGGUGGAGCGAAUCCCAAAAAGUCGGUCUCAGUUCGGAUUGGGGUCUGCAACUCGACCCCAUGAAGUUGGAGUUGCUAGUAAUCGCAGAUCAGCAACGCUGCGGUGAAUACGUUCCCGGACCUUGUACACACCGCCCGUCACGUCACGAAAGUCGGUAACACCCGAAGCCGGUGGCCUAACCGUAAGGAAGGAGCCGUCGAAGGUG